AUUGAACGCUGGCGGCAUGCCUUACACAUGCAAGUCGAACGGCAGCACGGGUGCUUGCACCUGAUGGCGAGUGGCGAACGGGUGAGUAAUACAUCGGAACGUACCUUAUCGUGGGGGAUAACGCAGCGAAAGUUGCGCUAAUACCGCAUACGCCCUGAGGGGGAAAGCGGGGGACCGUAAGGCCUCGCGCGAUUAGAGCGGCCGAUGUCUGAUUAGCUUGUUGGUGAGGUAAAAGCUCACCAAGGCGAUGAUCAGUAGCUGGUCUGAGAGGACGAUCAGCCACACUGGGACUGAGACACGGCCCAGACUCCUACGGGAGGCAGCAUGGGGGAAUUUUGGACAAUGGGGGCAACCCUGAUCCAGCAAUGCCGCGUGAGUGAAGAAGGCCUUCGGGUUGUAAAGCUCUUUUGUCAGGGAAGAAACACCGGCUCUAACACAGUCCGGGAAUGACGGUACCUGAAGAAUAAGCACCGGCUAACUACGUGCCAGCCGCCGCCGUAA
rnacentral:rRNA from 1 species